rnacentral:lncRNA from 1 species
GAAUGAAUAAGUUAAGUUAAAAUUUUAUUUAUAAUUAUUUUCUUGACAAGUGACAAAUUUUUGCUAUAUAAGAAUCAAUAAAUGAGAGUCGAUCCUUAUCAAGCUUAAAGUUUCCGUUUCAAGAACUUCUAAAUUCAGCGAAACUAUGGCAACUUCUACUGCAACUGGAGACAAGUACAGGGAUUAUUUGACUGAAGAGGAUAUCAAAAACACCAAAUGGAAUUUUGGUCCUCCAAACUAUGAUGAUGUAAAUCAGCUGUUUGAAGAAGGGAGAACUAAUGUAUGCAGUUUUCGACCUUUAUUUUCGAUUUAUUACCUAAAAAUCCAAGUUACUUUCCAUUUGAUGUUUUUUUUUCCGAUUUGAUGCUAAUUUUAACACCAACGGAUAUGUAUAUGGCAGAUAUGGCCUGAAGGAUCACCUGAAGAGAAAGUGCAGAGGCUUGUGAAGACAUGGGAAAUGGAACUGGUACACAAGGCAGAUCCAAAUCAGUACAAGACCCUUGAUGCAAAGAAAUUCAAACUUAGUGUCAAUGGUAUGUUUUCUUUACAACCACAACGAUGGCGAAAAUUCUAUUAAUAUGGCAGUUAAUUAAGUACACGUUAGGGAGAGAGGUCGAACAUGGUGUCACAAGCAAUAUUAAACUCAUAUUGAACGGGUCAAGUUUGCAUGUAUAGAAUAUACUUGUGAUUAACAUGUAAAUUUACGGUAGAAAGAGAUUUUCUCAAGGAAACGCAUUUAACAAUGUUGAAUGUAACAUCAUAAACAGUUAGAAAGUUUUAAAAAUAAUUUACGCUACCUCACCCACUUAUAUAAUAACACUAAUAAACACAUUCAAAAUGUUCACCCAUGAGAUCUGGCCAAUAAGCAAGUUAAAAUAGUAUAAAAACUCGUAGGUAAAAGUCACUCUUGGAUGUGACUCGUGAUAAAUAAAUAAAUUUCUCGUUGAAAGAGACUUUCUCAAGGAAACGCAUUUAACAAUGUCGAAUGCAAAACAGGUAGAAAGUUUUUGACAUUGGAAGAAAUGAUUAAGAUUGGGGGAAGCUACAACGUGUUUCUACAGACAUCCUUGCCAAAAUCUUUAAGAUUCUACGAUCCUGAUGAGGAAACAGCUGAUUCCUCACAAACACUUUUCAAAUCAACAUUCGCGCGGGGAUUUGCAUUGGAGAUUCUUGAAUUGUAUUCAGGACCUCCUAAAAUUGUGUACAAAUUCAGGCAUUGGGGUUUCAUGGAGGGCCCUUUUAAAGGACAUGCUCCUACCGGCGAAAAAUUGGAAGUUUUUGGGAUUGGCAUUUUUGAGGUACCAUCACUCUAUCUUCAUCUUUAACUAAUAUCCUUUUAACUUCUUCACUGGAUAGCAUCCUAGACGUUUUAUUGUGUACUACACCUUUUGUGCCUUGUUUGGUAACAUACAUGACAAUAUUAAUACAUUGUUUUGUCGACUACUGAGUAUUAAACACGUUCUUUUAUGUGCUAAAACAGUUGGAUGAAAACUCCAAGGUUGUGAAGGUGGAGUUCUAUAGUGAUCGUGGAGAACUGUUGGCCGGUCUGAUUAAGGGUAAAACCUUGGAUAAUUCCACUGAGGCGACACCUUCUGGCUGCCCUUUAAUGUCUGGCUAAUGGGAUAGCAUUGUGGAUGAAGUAGCCUUUUCAGCAGCUAUGAACUUUUUAAUAAAGGAACUGUUUGUUAAUUAGGUUUGAUGAAUAAAUCAGGAAUGUAUCGAAUGGAUUGACACUCUGUACCAUAGAAAACGCAUUCCUGUAAGGAUUUUCAAACUAAUUGCUGCAUUUAUAUAACGAUUUUCAAAUUAAUUGCUGCAUUUAUAUUUAUU